UAUUUAUAUAGGCUAUUUUUUGCCGCCUUUAUAAAAUGUACAAUUGCGUUUUCUUUCUGAAAUACAUUUGAGUAAACAAGAAAAACCCCGGAAACUGAAUGAAGUAUUAAAGAAAGACUCAACCAGGAGCCAGAAAGCCCUGCGAUCCAACAGAAUUGAUAUAUCAGACCAUUUCAGCUCAGGCUUCACACAUUACUUGCCCAUCGCUUGACGUCCAGUCCAUCAGACGGGACAAAUACAGGUCCGGCUCUCUCUUCCAUGAGUAUCCUCGUCCUUUGCCAUCUCCUGGAUUGUGUCCAGACCAGGCUUGACUUCCCGGCCUUUUCUAUGGGUUGCCCUCCCCCUUGUUGGCGGCCUUCCACCUGUCGAUGUCUUUUAGAGGCCUGGGUCUCUCCUGGACCUCCUGUUGGCAGGCCUCAGUGCUCUGACAGACCAGCAGCCUGUGAAAUCACACCUCUCAGCUGUUCACACUGCACUCCGGACAUCCAAUCUCAAUGGCUUCUUCAAAAAAGGAGGCGAUUCUGGGGGCAGGGUGGGCUAAAAGACAACUGCCACCCGCUUUUAUUGGGACAGCAUGACAGAAAAUGUUUUCUGGGGCACAGCUGACAAAGAACUUCAUGUUUUUGAAACAGCAGAGCUCAGGGGAAUGUGAACCUGCUCCUCAUAAUGCCUCUAAGGUCAACACCUGUGUGCUAAAAUCAGCUGCAGUGGAGAGAGAUGGAUGCAGAGCGUAAGACUUACACUGAAAUUCAACUCGCAGUCUAUUUCAGUUUCACACAGACGCUGGAAAUAGACUCGGCAGCUUUCAGAUUACUGAACUGAGAGUCUAACCAGGUCCACUCAUGGAAAUCAGAGAUUAUUCAUUAUAGUGAGUAUAGUGAUUUGUAUUGUUAAAAGUAAAUUAAUUAUUUUUUUUUUUAAGAUGUAGAUUAGUUAAUCACUUCAUCCAGUACAUGCAGAUAUGGGGCACUGGGACUAGUUGUCACAUUUUUUACUCCAG
ensembl:lncRNA